UCUCCGUAGGUGAACCUGCGGAGGGAUCACUACAGAGUUCUCGCCCUCGCGGGUAGAUCUCCCACCCACUGUUAUCGUUACUGUGUUGCUUUGGCGGGCCGCCGGGCCCCGCUCGGCCGCCGGCUCCGGCUGGCGCGCGCCCGCCAGAGGCCCAGCAAACUCUGAAUGUUAGUGUCGUCUGAGUACUAUAUAAUAGUUAAAACUUUCAACAACGGAUCUCUUGGUUCUG
rnacentral:misc_RNA from 1 species